UACGGGGGGGGCAAGCGUUGUUCGGAAUUACUGGGCGUAAAGGGCUCGUAGGCGGCCAACUAAGUCGGAUGUGAAAUCCCCAGGCUUAACCUGGGAACUGCAUCCGAUACUGGAUGGCUUGAAUCCGGGAGAGGGAUGCAGAAUUCCAGGUGUAGCGGUGAAAUGCGCAGAUAUCAGGAGGAACACCGGUGGCGAAGGCGGGUCUCUGGGCAAUAACUGACGCUGAGGAGCGAAAGCGUGGGGAGCGAACAGG
rnacentral:rRNA from 1 species